rnacentral:lncRNA from 1 species
CUGUGGACCUGGAGGGAUUUUCAGGUCUCCAUAGUGGGGGGUGGGGGGUGGGGAGAGAAGAAGGAGAAGAUUUCUUCCUUGGGGAUCUGAAACUGAAAUUCAGUGGAGAUGGAUUGCUGCUCUUUCUGUGAGGAAGCUGGGGGCAGCUGAAGAAUUCCUUGAUGUUGGGGAUUGCUUACACAAGAAGAAAGACCCUGGGACUGGAGGGGGAAGGCAGUCUGGCUGCUGGCCACCUCGUUGAGAGUUGGACAUCAAUGGACUGGCUCUUGGAACAAUCCAGAAGGAAUAAAAGGACUCAAAAAUAGCCAGUGGGGAUGGAGAAGUCCAACCCUAGCCAACUACCCCUGAGUAAGAGUUAAAAAAAAAUAAUAAAGUAACUGUUUAAGUGGACA